rnacentral:rRNA from 1 species
GUGCCAGCAGCCGCGGUAAUACGGAGGGAGCUAGCGUUGUUCGGAAUUACUGGGCGUAAAGCGUACGUAGGCGGCUAUUCAAGUCAGAGGUGAAAGCCCGGGGCUCAACCCCGGAACUGCCUUUGAAACUAGGUAGCUAGAGUCUUGGAGAGGUUAGUGGAAUUCCGAGUGUAGAGGUGAAAUUCGUAGAUAUUCGGAAGAACACCAGUGGCGAAGGCGACUAACUGGACAAGUACUGACGCUGAGGUACGAAAGCGUGGGGAGCAAACAGGAUUAGAUACCCUGGUAGUCC